CAGGGAGAAGCUGUCGUGCCGCUCCGAGCUCUACGGCGACGAGGACGAGAACUGGAGCAGCCCCCGGGGCUUCGCCGCCAGCAACCAAGGGGCCAACUGGGAAGGCGCCGAGACCCCCAACGUCUACGUCAGCCUGGCGAAGGUGGACACCGCGCAGAAGAUCCACAUCCAGAGGCCCUCCAGCAUCCUGCCCUGAGCGCAGCUGCCUGGGGAGGGGGCGGCCGGACCCCCCCCCCCCCCCCCCCCCAAGUCCCGGCGCCGGGAAACGAACCGGGGCGGGACGGGGCUGCCGUCCGCGUGCGACAGGCGUGGGAGCGCACCGCCGGCCCGGGGCACCCCCCGCGCCACCCUUUCACCCCCUCCUGUUUGAUAGCGGAAUAAAAACGUUGAUUUUUA